rnacentral:pre_miRNA from 1 species
CAUCUUACCAGGCAGUAUUAGAGUCAAUUUGAAAAUGUUCUUCUAAUACUGUCAGGUAAAGAUGUC